rnacentral:rRNA from 1 species
AACACAUGCAAGUCGAGCGGUAGCACAGAGAGCUUGCUCUCGGGUGACGAGCGGCGGACGGGUGAGUAAUGUCUGGGAAACUGCCUGAUGGAGGGGGAUAACUACUGGAAACGGUAGCUAAUACCGCAUAACGUCGCAAGACCAAAGUGGGGGACCUUCGGGCCUCAUGCCAUCAGAUGUGCCCAGAUGGGAUUAGCUAGUAGGUGGGGUAAUGGCUCACCUAGGCGACGAUCCCUAGCUGGUCUGAGAGGAUGACCAGCCACACUGGAACUGAGACACGGUCCAGACUCCUACGGGAGGCAGCAGUGGGGAAUAUUGCACAAUGGGCGCAAGCCUGAUGCAGCCAUGCCGCGUGUAUGAAGAAGGCCUUCGGGUUGUAAAGU